rnacentral:tRNA from 1 species
AGUUCAAUUAGGUAGAACAAUAGAAGUUACGCAGGUUCGAAUCCUGCACCGA